CUAGAUAGUCCGGCGCCUUCUCUCUUUCCAGGUAUGUUUAUGCAUUUACAUUUUAGAAUUUUUCAAUCCCAUACGCCUACUUGAUUUGAAAUUUUAGAUUUAUAUUAUAAUAAUUUGAUAGAUAUGGUGCAGUAUUGUGAUAGGUAUUGAGUGGAACCUUCAAGAUUAUAAUUUAAUGUUGGGAGGAGCCACAGUUCGUCGAAAAGACAUUACAAAUAUAAAUUAGAUGAAAAUCCUUUCAAAAGUUAUAGAAAAGUAUUCAGGUUUGUUUUUUUAUCUUGUUGCUUUGAAUUUUUUCCUCUUGUUAUAUGCUAAAAAUUCUUGUAAUAGAAGUAUCUAGACAUAAUUUUUCUCUCUUUGAACUUUCAUUUUGUAUUUUUACAAAUCAAACUUGCAUAUUUGUAUUAAUGGUUCCCUCAUUCUUUAGUGCUAAUUUUUGUUUCUUUUGAAUUUGCAGGGUGCAUUUUAAUCUGUUAAAUGCAAGCAGAUCAAAGAUCAGUCUUGAUGCAAAGAGUGAAAUUACUUUAUCGUUGCUAAUCCAGUGGCAACAUCUUUAGCUACGACGUAGAAUACCUCGAUCCAUCCGAUUUUGAAUAAAAAUAUUUGGCACUUCACCGCUACAUAAAUUGAGUGCAUUCAAAUUCAGAAAUGAAAGCACAUAAAAAUGGGAGGAAACUUGUUCAUGGCACACCCAUAUUUAUCUUGUUAAAAUUCACGGGAAUGUAUAGGAAAAUUGUGUCUUUAGUUUAAAAGUUGGUGGUUAACAAUGAAGGGUCACAACUUUUUAGAAAAGGCACAAUAUUAAUUAAUAUUUCUGUAGAUAUUUAUUUAAUUAUUGUUAAAAGGGUAUAUUGGUAAUUUAACUUUUUA
rnacentral:lncRNA from 1 species